GUGAGGAAUAUUGGUCAAUGGGCGUUAGCCUGAACCAGCCAAGUAGCGUGAAGGAUGAAGGCUCUAUGGGUCGUAAACUUCUUUUAUAUAAGAAUAAAGUGCAGUAUGUAUACUGUUUUGUAUGUAUUAUAUGAAUAAGGAUCGGCUAACUCCGUGCCAGCAGCCGCGGUAAUACGGAGGAUCCGAGCGUUAUCCGGAUUUAUUGGGUUUAAAGGGAGCGUAGGUGGACUGGUAAGUCAGUUGUGAAAGUUUGCGGCUCAACCGUAAAAUUGCAGUUGAUACUGUCAGUCUUGAGUACAGUAGAGGUGGGCGGAAUUCGUGGUGUAGCGGUGAAAUGCUUAGAUAUCACGAAGAACUCCGAUUGCGAAGGCAGCUCACUGGACUGCAACUGACACUGAUGCUCGAAAGUGUGGGUAUCAA
rnacentral:rRNA from 1 species